AAUUACAAAAAAUCACUUACUUCCUUAUUUAAAACACUAAAAUACUUCUACUAACUUCAUAUUAAAAUAUAUUAAACCACUAAACUUAUAACUAAAUUUUAACUAUAUAUAAUAACUAUUAAUUAAAACACAUCUUCCCCAUCCUAUCCUUUUAUAAUCUUACUAAUUUCUAUCUAAACAUAUUUAAUCCAUCACUCAUAUCCAUUACUCAACUUUAAAAAUU
rnacentral:misc_RNA from 1 species